AUUGAACGCUGGCGGCAUGCCUUACACAUGCAAGUCGAACGGCAGCACGGGAGCUUGCUCCUGGUGGCGAGUGGCGAACGGGUGAGUAAUACAUCGGAACGUACCCUGAAGUGGGGGAUAACGUAGCGAAAGUUACGCUAAUACCGCAUAUUCUGUGAGCAGGAAAGAGGGGGAUCGCAAGACCUCUUGCUUUAGGAGCGGCCGAUGUCGGAUUAGCUAGUUGGUGAGGUAAAGGCUCACCAAGGCGACGAUCCGUAGCGGGUCUGAGAGGAUGAUCCGCCACACUGGGACUGAGACACGGCCCAGACUCCUACGGGAGGCAGCAGUGGGGAAUUUUGGACAAUGGGCGCAAGCCUGAUCCAGCCAUGCCGCGUGAGUGAAGAAGGCCUCGGGUUGUAAAGCUCUUCGGUGGGGAAGGAAAGUUAGUCUUCGGUUAAUACCUGGAGUAGAUGACGGUA
rnacentral:rRNA from 1 species